UAAUCCGAAGCAAUUGAAAGG
ensembl:piRNA 21ur-3037 ncRNA